GUAGUAUGUUGACUUUAAAGUAUUUGUUAAAGAAAUUUUAUAUAUUUACCUUUUGUAUCAGGGUUUUUUAAUUUAUUUAAUUAUUUAAUUGUCUCGAAGUAAAAUGACUUAAAUAUUGUUGAUUUUGUUGUAUUAAAGUUAGUUAUUAUUUUAGUAAUGAAAUGUUUUCGUAUUUUAGGGUAUCUAGUUAUUUAAGUUAAAUAUAUUUUAUAUUAAAGGUUAUUUUUUAGUGUAAAAGGGUUAAGCUUUUUAUACAUUUUAUAUUUAUUUAUUUUAUAGUAUUAAUCAGGCUUAAAAUUAGCUGUAUUGGUGAGUUGUUGUAGAUAAGUGUUUAUAGUCAGUAGUUAUAUAUUAUAGUAGGUUAAGUUAUAUUAAUAGUUAUAGAAUUAGUAGUAUUAAUGAAUAAAUUAGUACUAAGGUACGAAGGGUCUUUUUAACUCAAGGGUGUAUUUGAUAGUUUAUCAAAAACAUUUUUGUUGUAGGUAUGGAUAGUAAGGCCUGCCCAGUGAAUAAAUUAAACGGCUGCGGUAUUUUGACUGUACUAAGGUAGCAUAAUCAUUUGUUUUUUAAUUGAAGGCUGGAAUGAACGGUUUUACAAAUAAAUUUUUUAAAAGAAACCUGUAUAGUAAUUUUUAUUUUUAAUAAGAAUAUUAGAAUGUUGUAAAGGGACGAUAAGACCCUAAAAGCUUUUUUAAUAGAUUUAGUUAGUUAUUAGGUUAUUUAAAUUUAGUUGGGGCAACGUAUGUGUGUAAAUUAUUUAUUUGUUAAACAUUGUAUGAUUGGCUAGAAGAUCUUUUAUUUAAAGAUAAAUAGGUUUAGUUACUUUAGGGAUAACAGCGUAAUAAUUUUGGAAAGGUCUUAUUGAUAAAAUUGAUUGCGACCUCGAUGUUGAAUUAGAUUAUCUUUUUAUUGUAGGCGGUAAUGGAGAGGGUUUGUUCAACCUUUAAUUUUCUACAUGAUUUGAGUUCAAAUCGGUUAAAGCCAGAUUGGUUUCUAUCUUUUAUUAAGAGGGAGGUAUUUUAGUACGAAAGGGAUGAAUAUUUUUUAG
rnacentral:rRNA from 1 species